AAGUCGUAACAAGGUUUCCAUAGUGAAUAAAUGAUUCUUCUGUAGUGAAUCUUAUUGAAGCCUUUGCAACUCAGCAAUGAGGAGCUCCCGCGACGGAAAAUAAGGGGAGUUUAUGCAUACACAACCGAACUGACGGGGAAAUUCUAAUGCUUACAACAUCAACUUAGCAAGGAAACUUGGUGAGGGCGGGUGCUAAUUACACUCGAUGGUAACAGAUUGUAGGAUGUAACAAUGAAUUAUCCGCAGCGAAUCUCCUAAGUAUUACUAGAUAUAU
rnacentral:misc_RNA from 1 species